GGUGGGUAUAGCUCAGUGGUAGAGUGCAUGCUUAGGAUGCAUAAGGUCCUGGGUUUAAUCCCCAGUACCUCCA
rnacentral:tRNA from 1 species